ensembl:lncRNA
CCUGUCCCAUUGGAAGUCAGAGGACCUGUCCCGGUAGUAGUGUAAUGUCCGUUUUUAGGUUUUUACCCUAACGAUGAUUUAAAAAAAAUAUCUGUGACGCUUCUUGCCCUUAACACAGCAUUGUAUCCUUGUUAUUUACACAAGCCAAUGUUACGUACAUCUUUUUCCGGAUUUUCCGAGCGUCGUCCUUGGCGGAAGUUGCAGUUUUCGCGCUACCAACCUCAGAAUGACAAAGCCAAAAACGAGGCUGUGCCCUUCCUGCCAGACCCCAAAUUGGCUGAGGAGGAAGACCUGUGCAAAUUGUGUCUGCCCUCUUCAGCAGAGUGGCAAAGAUUUGCAAAGUUGGGCAAAGUCUGUGAAGGCCAACAAAAACGCACACAGGACCUUGGAGUCGGCCCAUGUAUCGAGCUGCAUCUCCGCCAGGGCGCAUCAACAGCUGUGCCUGGGCCAAUGGCGGACAGUGCUCGGUCUGGAGCAGGGCCAGGACCAGGACCAUCCUUCACCCCCUCUCAGCCUCCUCCCCCUCCACCCUUCACCCC